rnacentral:rRNA from 1 species
AGUGAACGCUGGCGGUAUGCCUAACACAUGCCAGUCGAACGGCAGCACAGUAAGAGCUUGCUCUUACGGGUGUCGAGUGGCGGACGGGUGAGGAAUACACCGGAAUCUACUUUUUCGUGGGGGAUAACGCAGGGAAACGUACGCUAAUACCGCAUACGACCUACUGGUGAAAGCAGGGGAUCUUCGGACCUUGCGCGAUUGAAUGAGCCGAUGUUGGAUUAGCUAGUUGGCGGGGUAGAGGCGCACCAAGGCGACGAUCCGUAGCUGGUAUGAGAGGAUCAUCCGCUAGCCUGUAUCUGAGACAGGGUCCACACACCUGCGGGGGGCAGCAGCGGGGAAUAUUGGAGAAUGGGGCAGAGGGUGAUCCAGCAAUACCGGGUGAGGGAAGAACGACUUCUGGUGGUAAAGCCCUUUUGUUGUGAAAGAAAUAAAGCAGGUUAACACCCCGUGAUUCUGACGGUACCCAAAGAAUAAGCUCCGGCUAACUUCGUG